CCCUCCCCUUUUGGCACUGGGUUAAGGGAGUGCCGGGCAAGGUCGCAGGGUGCCCUUCUGUGACCCCCUGGCACUGUGGAGGGCAAGUUAGUGGCAGUGUGUGUUUAGCAGUGCAUAGAAGGGCCACAACCGCAGCCAUGGACCAGAUGUCUAAGGUUCAGCCUAUGCAGCUGGAGGCCGCCAACGCCUACACAUGCGUUGACCACAUGUGUGCGCUGGACAUCGACUCACGGCCCUUCUCACAGCGCCUGUCCAGCAUCAUCUGUACCAUCGGCCCAGUGUCGCGGUCCGUGGAGAUGCUGGAGCAGAUGAUGGAGGCUGGCAUGAACAUCGCACGCAUGAACUUCUCGCAUGGCACCCACGAGUACCACUCUGAGACCAUGGAGAACGUGCGUAAGGCGGCCGAGAACUACUCCAAGAAGGCUGGCUACCCACACUCCGUUGCCAUCGCCCUCGACACCAAGGGGCCGGAGAUCAGGACGGGGCUGCUCGAGGGGGGAGCGUCGGCGGAGAUCGAACUGAAGGUCGGCGGCCAGGUCAAGCUCACCACGGACAAGGAGUUCUACGAGAAGUGCACGGCCGAUGUCGUGUACCUGGACUACAUCAACAUCACCAAGGUGGUCAAGGUUGGCAACAGGAUCUACGUUGACGACGGGCUCAUCUCGCUCAUCGCCAAGGAGAUCGGCUCCGACCACAUUGUCUGCGAGGUCGAGAACGGCGGGAUGUUGGGCAGCAAGAAAGGGGUCAACCUGCCCGGCGUUCCCGUUGACCUGCCCGCCGUGUCUGAGAAGGACCGCAGUGACCUCCUCCUCGGGGUCAAGAUGGGCGUGGAUAUGGUGUUCGCGUCCUUCAUCAGGGACGCGGCCGGGGUCAGGGAGAUCCGGAACGUGCUGGGUGAGGAGGGCAAGAACAUCAAGAUCAUCAGCAAGAUUGAGAACCACCAGGGCUGCAAGAACAUUGACUCCAUCAUCGAGGAAGGGGACGGCAUCAUGAUCGCUCGCGGUGACCUGGGCAUUGAGAUCCCCGCCGAGAAGGUCUUCAUCGCACAGAAACAGAUGCUGGCCAAGUGCAACAAGGUCGGCAAGCCCGUCAUCUGCGCCACCCAGAUGCUUGAGUCCAUGGUGAAGAAGCCUCGCCCUACCCGCGCCGAGGUGUCCGACGUGGGCAACGCUAUCAUGGAUGGAGCGGACUGUGUCAUGCUCAGUGGGGAGACAGCCAAGGGAGACUACCCCCUGGUGUGUGUGCGGACCAUGGCCAAUAUUGCGAGGGAGGCCGAGGCUGCUCUCUGGCACAAGCAGCUCUUCACGGAACUCUCCCAGCAGGUCUUCCUGCCAACGGACUCCACCCACACAACCGCCAUCGCAUCGGUGGAAGCCUCGUUCAAGGCCAUGGCAUCGGCAAUCAUCGUCAUCACCACCACCGGCCGGUCCGCCCACCUGGUGUCCAAGUACCGCCCUCGCUGCCCCAUCAUGGCUGUCACGCGCUUCCCCCAGGUGGCUCGGCAGGCGCACCUUCACAGAGGCAUCAUCCCCAUCCUCUACACAGUGCCUCAGAAGGCUGAGCGCGUUGAGGACUGGAUGGAUGACGUCAACGCUCGAGUGGACUACGCCGUGGCAUUUGGCAAGCAGAGCGGAUUCGUCAAGUCCGGCGAUCCCGUGGUUGUCGUCACCGGCUGGCAGAAGGGUGCUGGGUUCACCAACACCAUGCGCGUACUGUACGUAAAGUAAACAAACACAAACAAACAAACACGCACACAUAUACACUCACAUACAUACAGUUACUUGUUCUGUCAAAGGGAAGUUCUGGUUGUUUCGGGAUUUGAGUUUCUGAAUGGGUUAAAAUUUGGAUGAUUUCAGAAUGUGUUUGGUUACGAGUCUUGGUUGCUGGGCUUACGGUUGUCUGUGUGUGUGUGUGUUUAAAUAUGGCUGGGUUAGUUUCCUCUGUAAUUUGAGUGUGUGUGUGUCUGUGUAUGUGUGUGUGUGUGUGUGUGUGUGUUAGCAUGGGGUAAUUGCAUCUAAUUGUUAUUAUUAUUAUACGCCAAAAUUAACCAUCAUCUCUCGCUCUCUCUCUCUCUCUUUUGGUCAACCCACACACCAAAUCGCAACCCAACUAACCAACCUCAACCAAAUCAACCUCAACCCAACACAAGCACAAAAAAAAUACUUGUAAAUAUAAAUAAAAUACGACUGCCAAACAUAACCUUGCACCAAAAUUGACCUGCGAAUUGCCAUCCAUCGCCUAACUAACCUGCACUGCUUUCAACCUUGCAUAUGAAUGUCUUGAAGUUAACGUAUAGUAAGGUCAAGCUUGUGUAUAUAUGAUAAGGUGGAGCUUGUAUGUAUAUAUUGGAGGUGAUGGAGGAGAUGUUUAGGGAGGCGUAAUUCCUGGUUGAGUGAUGUGAGGUUGACGAGGCUAUCAGUUAUUACGUAGAGAUGACUUUGGGUGUUUUUAAUCGAAGGGAGGGUUGCUUAAUUCGUAACUCCAGACGUCGUAAAUACAGUCUAGGUGAUGUAAGGUAUUUCGUAAACAAUUGAGUUAAAUUAUAUAAUCAAUAAAUAUGUUGAAAAAUAUAAGCUAUACCAAUGUUGAGGGAAAUAGCAGAGCGUAACCAGCCAUGUUAAUUUCGCUUGUAUAUUUUCGCGGCAAAGAACAGACGAACUAACACAGAGAGAGAGAGAGAGAGAGAGAUAGCGGUUGUCAGUCAUUCGUUUCAUCUAUAAAUUUUUUGCAGUAAUAAACAUCGAAGCAUAAAUUGAGUUCUCGGCAUAGCGAAAUGUCAGUCUCGUAAAGAACGGCAGAAAGAAAAGUUAAAAUUGGGCCUAAAAUUAUCAAUAGCUGUAGUUACUCUGUGUGUGUGUGUGUGUGUGUGUGUGUGUGCGUAUCAGAGAGAUUAUGUGAACUUGCAUUUCGAAAGGUAUAAAGAGGUACACACACACACACACACACACACACACACACACACACGCUAUCCUCUAGUGUUUGGAAGCUUUAAAAUGAUGCCUAAGAAGGUGUGUUUGUGUGUGUAUUUGUACGUACAUGUCUCUGUCGAGGCGGCGAUGGUUGUGGUUUAUUUUUAUUUUCCUUGUGGUCUUGUGUUGCGUCAAGUACUUAUUGUUGUUGUUCCUAUUUUGUGUUGCGUCGGAAGUCAGUAAUUUUUUUGUGUUGAGUUAAAAGUAUAUAUCGGCGGAAUUUGCUCCUUUUUUUGUGUGUUGCGCUGGAAGUAGAGAUUGUUUAGUCACCCCCUUAUUUGUGUUGCGGCGGAAAUACAUACUGUUGAAUUGCUAAACCUCUUUUUGUGUUCCGCUGAAGUAAAUAUCGUGGCUUGUGUUGCGCUGACGACACAGAAUGGUGAGUUUUUCUGUGUUUCAACGAGUCGGUAAUUUUGUGUUGCGUUGGAAGCAGCGUUCUCAAAUUAUCGUACUCAAAACAUCGCAUUUAUCAGUCCCAGGGCCAAAAACCUUCCUACCCACACAGAUUAUGAAAUUACAGUUAAAUUUAUCAUUAAAAGCAUUAGUUAUUGGUGUUUGUUUUCGACAGCUGUGACUCAGAAACCGGAAAAUAUGAUGUGCUGGGUGGCUGAGUAUGAUAAUUUGGAACCCUGGUUGGAAGUUUGUUACGUAUUGGAGUCAGUCAGUCAUCUUAUGUUCCAUCGAAGGCAGAUAUUGGUGACUCAUAAAUUUUGUGUUGCGCUGAGGGUAGAGAUAGCUUAGUCACCCCUUUAUGUGUUGCAUUGAAAGUAUUGUAUGUAUGUAUUGGUGGGCCAGUUGUCAGUAAGCUUGUGUUCCGGCAAAGGCAAAUUUUGUUGACUCAUGAAUUUUGUAUUGCGUUGAGAAUACAGAUUGGUUGAGUGAGUCCAUUUUGUGUUGCACUGAGAAUACAAAUUGCAGAGUCAUGAGUUUUGUGUUACGUCAAAAGCAAAUACUGGUUUUUUUUUUGUGUUGCUCCGAGAAUACAGAUUGGCGAGUUAUGAAUUUUGUGUUCGGUUGAAAGCAAAACGGUCUUUUUUUGUGUUGCUCCAAGAAUACAGAUUGCAGAGUCAUGAGUUUUGUGUUACGUCAAAAGCAAAUACUGUCUUUUUUUGUGUUGCUCCGAGAAUAAAGAUUGCCGAGUCAUGAAUUUUGUGUUACAUCGAGAGCAAAUAGUCUUUUUUUGUGUUGCUCCAAGAAUACAAAUUGUUGAGUCAUGAGUUCUGUGUUACGUCGAGAGCAAAUAUUGGCGAGUCAGUAAUUUGAGUUGCGCGGAGAACACAUACAGUUGCUGCUUUCUUUAAUUGUGUUUCGUUCAAAGUCUACAUACAUGAUUUUGAGUCACUACCUUGCUUAGAUAUAUGUGUGUGUGUGUGUGUGUGUGUGCGGUUGUGUUAUCCGCCUAUGAUAAAAACAACCAAAUGCGAUUCACCCACUCAGUUUCGUUAACCAAAUAUGUUAGUGACUUAAUUUUAUUCCUAUAUCACCAAUGUUAUUGCAACCAAGUAUUAACUUUACCAUAACCAAAUAUACUGAUUAAUUUGUACUCGGUUAAUAAGUAAUACUGAUUAAUUAAUGAGGGUAAUAAUAAGUAGAUAAUUACUCAUUUU